rnacentral:rRNA from 1 species
AGUGAACGCUGGCGGUAGGCCUAACACAUGCAAGUCGAACGGCAGCACAGUAAGAGCUUGCUCUUACGGGUGGCGAGUGGCGGACGGGUGAGGAAUACAUCGGAAUCUACUUUUUCGUGGGGGAUAACGUAGGGAAACUUACGCUAAUACCGCAUACGACCUACGGGUGAAAGCAGGGGAUCUUCGGACCUUGCGCGAUUGAAUGAGCCGAUGUCGGAUUAGCUAGUUGGCGGGGUAAAGGCCCACCAAGGCGACGAUCCGUAGCUGGUCUGAGAGGAUGAUCGGCCACAGUGGAGCGGAAACGCGCACAGGCCUCCUGCGGGGGGAGGGGGGGGGAAAUGUUGAAAAGAGGGGGCAGGCCGGACCAACCAAUCCGGGGGGGGGGAAGAGGGCUUCGGGUUUUAAAGGCCUUUUUGUGGGAAAAAAAAAGAAGCAGUUUAAUCCCCCGCUGUUCUGACGGUCCCAAAAAAAUAAGCCCCGGCUAACUUCGUG